UGAGCAAUCUGCCCUUCUCAUCGGAAUAAGCGUUGGAAACGACGUCUAAUGCCGAAUACGACCUCCUUUCGCAUGAUCGGAGGUGGAAAGCUCCGGCGGAGAAGGAUGAGCUCGCGGCCUAUCAGCUAGUUGGUGAGGUAAUAGCUCACCAAGGCGAUGACGGGUAGCCGGCCUGAGGAGGGUGACCCGGCCACACGUGGGACUGAGACACCGGCCCAGACCUGUACGGGAG
rnacentral:rRNA from 1 species